UACGUAGGCAGCGAGCGUUGUUCGGAGUUACUGGGCGUAAAGAGUGCGUAGGCGGUUUUCUAAGUUUGGUGUGAAAUCUCCCGGCUUAACUGGGAGGUGCGCCGAAGACUGGAAGGCUUGAGUAUGGGAGAGGUAAGCGGAAGUUCCUGGUGUAGCGGUGAAAUGACGCAGAUAUCAGGAGGAACACCGGUGGCGAAGGCGGGUCUCUGGGCCGAUACUGACGCUGAGGAGCGAAAGCGUGGGGAGCGAACAGG
rnacentral:rRNA from 1 species